rnacentral:rRNA from 1 species
GAUGAACGCUGGCGGCGUGCCUAAUACAUGCAAGUCGAGCGAACGGACGAGAAGCUUGCUUUUCUGAUGUUAGCGGCGGACGGGUGAGUAACACGUGGAUAACCUACCUAUAAGACUGGGAUAACUUAGGGAAACCGGAGCUAAUACCGGAUAAUAUUUUGAACCGCAUGGUUCAAAAGUGAAAGACGGUCUUGCUGUCACUUAUAGAUGGAUCCGCGCUGCAUUAGCUAGUUGGUAAGGUAACGGCUUACCAAGGCAACGAUGCAUAGCCGACCUGAGAGGGUGAUCGGCCACACUGGAACUGAGACACGGUCCAGACUCCUACGGGAGGCAGCAGUAGGGAAUCUUCCGCAAUGGGCGAAAGCCUGACGGAGCAACGCCGCGUGAGUGAUGAAGGUCUUCGGAUCGUAAAACUCUGUUAUUAGGGAAGAACAUAUGUGUAAGUAACUGUGCACAUCUUGACGGUACCUAAUCAGAAAGCCACGGCUAACUACGUG